rnacentral:rRNA from 1 species
AUACGUAGGUGGCAAGCGUUGUCCGGAUUUACUGGGCGUAAAGGGAGCGUAGGUGGAUAUUUAAGUGGGAUGUGAAAUACCCGGGCUUAACCUGGGUGCUGCAUUCCAAACUGGAUAUCUAGAGUGCAGGAGAGGAAAGUAGAAUUCCUAGUGUAGCGGUGAAAUGCGUAGAGAUUAGGAAGAACACCAGUGGCGAAGGCGAUUCUCUGGACUGUAACUGACGCUGAGGCUCGAAAGCGUGGGGAGC